AAUAUUAACAAAAUCCGUAAACGUCCGAACAGCUUUCAUUGCGAGAACUCUCGAGAAUUAGAUGAGACCAACACGCGAGAGGUGAAAAUCGAGAGAAAUAUUCAACUUGAAAAAAGAGGUAAAACUUUAUAUUUUCUCGAUUUGCAAGGUUUUUAAAUUGCAUAAAGUUGAAAAACAAACGUUUCUUUACAUGAAAAGUGAAAGUAUGUAUGAAGUUUCUCGUUCUGUCACGUGCUAUUGUACAUGAAAGUGUCAAAACUGCACCUCUCGAUUUUGUAAACAUUUUUCCACGUGCAAGGGAGUAGUUGUGUCGGUAAAGAUGAACACACAUACACUGGUUUAGGAAACAAAAGCACUCGUUUAAGUACAUGUUGAACAGCCUUCUCCAUAAAACGGAUAUUCUGAAGACAGUGAUGACAUGAAAGUUCAAGAUUUGCCUAUUGUGAGCAUUCAGAUACCUCGGUAAUACAGAAUGGGUCAAAAAAUGCACAAAGGUUAAUCACAUCAUGCUGCAUUGCACUGUAACAGAACAAUUUAUCUGAUGCAAGCAUCAACCAUGAGAAUAACAAAGGAGGUUAGGUCCAAAGAGAAGGCAAUGUAACAAAUGAUUGCUGAAUUCAUGAGGAUUGGGAUGAAUCUUUUCUAUUCUUAAGAAGUGUCCAAACAUCAUUUGAGGAUCCCUUCCUAAGAAAAGAAGAAUUUGCCUAUUCAGAGAGUCCAUA